UACGGGGGGGGCAAGCGUUGUUCGGAAUUACUGGGCGUAAAGGGUUUGUAGGUGGCUUGUUAAGUCAGACGUGAAAUCCCUCAGCUUAACUGGGGAACUGCGUCUGAUACUGGCGAGCUUGAGUGCAGGAGAGGAACGCGGAAUUCCAGGUGUAGCGGUGAAAUGCGUAGAUAUCUGGAGGAACACCGGUGGCGAAGGCGGCGCGCUGGACCACUACUGACGCUGAGGAACGAAAGCUAGGGGAGCAAACAGG
rnacentral:rRNA from 1 species